ensembl:lincRNA
CUUUCAGUUCCCCUAGCACGUGAUCCACUUAAACUCACCACGCCCCGGGCUUACCUUCCUUCUUCUUUCAUUCUUUGACUCACAGACACGGUUCCAUGUGGUCACAAAUGUAACGCUGCCUCUCACUGCCCGCGGUUCCGAAGGCCUCACGGAGCUGGUGAGGAGGAUUCGCGGCGAAUCCAAGCCGCCCCGUCCUAGAGUGUGUGGUCUCUCAGGAGCAGAAACAGAGACGGUGGACUUGAGCGUCUUUCAAGGAUUCUGUUCAGUGAUUAGCCUCCCUGCCCAAGUGUUCUCCCCGAAGGAAAGCCCAUUUGUUCCCAUUGGAAACGUUCCUCAUCCUCCAACCGUGUCUGCAGGCAGAAGAAAGGCUUUGUGGACCUUUUGCCAAGACUGGCAGUGAUAGCAGACUCACUGGACACUUCUCUUCCUUUACCGCCAAGAACAACGGAGAAGGGCGUCCAGGCCCAGUGGUGUCAUGAGCAACGGGUCCUCAAUGCCUGGUGGGAGCUGAGAGACCAGCGGCUGGGCCUGUUACCAGUGGAUGCUGUGGUUCUCCUGAUGUUCCAGGGGCUGAGAUUCAUGGCGGAGCCCUUGAAACGUCUGAUCUGUUGUUCGUCCCAGUGCGCAAACGAGUACAGCUGCAUAGUUUUGUCAGGUACUUUCCUGACCAGCAACAAACUGAUGUUUAGAUGAUUGUUUCCAACAGUUUCGAGUGCGAUGGCGCUAAAACGGCAGGUGGUGAGUUAUUGAUGGAGGUCUGAUGUAAGUACAGUGAUUUUAUCUGUUAUCACAUCACUUCUUUCACUUCUACUGUCCUUUCUGCUUUGUACACUGGUAUUCAAAGAGAUAUAUAAGGAGGUGGCAGGCAAUGAUGUUAAAUUACAGAUUAAAUACAGACCUCCAUAGGGGCUGAUAGGAGAAACAGCCCACCUGCCUCGCAUCCCAUUUCAUGUAGGUGGUGCACAGAAUGUUAAAAAGAAUCAAAUGUCCCGCAAGACCUCCUGCCUAAAACCGUGUGUGUAAAUUGGACCAGGCAUGAGAGAAGAGUGACAGAUGAUUCUGUGGCUGUCUCGCCCCGUGUGCAGGCAGGUGGUGACAACAGGCACUGAUCUGACUCCUCAACAAAUCUCCUAAAGGUUUCUUCUGGGCCGGCCUCUCCAAUGGUUAUGGUCUGGGUCUAAAAUGUCCCGUACUGCCACCUGCUUGGCAAGCACAUGGAGUUUGAUCCCCGGUAUAAAACAAAACAAAACAAAACAAACAAACACACAAAAACAAGUAAAAUGUCCCCCAAAGCCUCAUACACAGGCGGGGCUUUUCAAAGAUGGCUGGAUGGUGGGGCUGAGAGCUGACCUCUAGUUUGGAGACAGGUUCUGGUGGAAAAGGCAGGUCUCUGGGUGUGACCUGAAGGGUGACCACCCCCUUCCCAGUGCCUCCUUUACUCUGCCUCCCUCUGCCACGCUGUCCCUCCCUGAAGCCAGCAGACUAUGGCUCAAAACCUCUACAAUGUCUGAGCCAAGAGAAACCUUUCCUCCUGUAAGUUGUGGGUGCCUGGAAUUGUGUUCCACUGAUGAGAAAGUGACUAAGACAUCGUCUCUCAGGUUCAAUAUUGCUGCCAGAGUAUGAAUUAUCCUUUAUCUGGUGCCUGCAGAACACUCUUCAUUAUACUGGUGGUGAAGAGUCCAGCUAGGAGGUUUAUUAAAUUUAAAGGUUGGCGAUUGUUGUGAGCUGGAUCCUGACUACUUUGACUACUUCCCAAGUUUUGGUUCUAAGGCGUAACUUCGGGAAGUAUUCCUUGGUUGCUGCUAUUAGGUGGUGUUGGCACAAAAAGGAGACUUCUAAUUAAAAUGAUCACCCACUUUGCUCUGCGUUCAAGCAUAGGUUCAGUUUGAAAAUAGCAGACUUUACUUUUGGAUCAAACCCAAUAAUUUUGUUUCCAUUUGGAAGCUUUCUCUGAAUUUCUCGUCCAAUACUUAGCGGGCAUGUGAGAAAAGCAGUAAGAUUCCUUUCUGGGGUCUGUCCUGCUAGCCAGAGUGUGAGCUACUGUUGAGAGCCAAUACUGAGCUAUGCACGAGGACUUUCUGGCAGGACCCAAGGCUGUCUGUCCAUCUAGCUGUGACCAAGCCAGCACUAUUAUGUACUAAAUCAGGAUUGUGUACCUAGUCCUUGGCAGAAGCUUCCUGAAAACUCUUACAUUUAGAGUAAGAAUAAAGUAAUAAAAAUUCCAGAGCAAUGAGUACUCAGCUGGGUAAAGUGCUGGGUUCUUGAUAUCCUGCAGUGUAACUAACAACAUUAUUUCAAUUUUUUUAACAGGUAAAGAAACACAGGAUUAGGCUCAAAAUUAUUGUGAAUUAUUGUGAUGGAGAAUUCUGUGUUGUUCCAUUCCAAAACAUGCCCACCCCAAUCAGGCAGUGAUUGAAAUUUCUGGAAUUUCUGAUGAGCUAUGGAUCUAUAAUUUUUGCCUCCAUACAAAUUCUCAAAAGUCCUGAGGUACUUGCCUGAAGGUUAGCUUCACUUGGUUCCAUGUGCCACCAUGUUCCAGUCUCAGGGAGGGCAUCAGGAUCCCAGCGUCACCUUCAAAAUGGAUAAGCACUGUUUCAUGGACCUCGAACCGCAGAUCUGAGAGAGUGAUGGUGUGCAUCAUUUUUGUUUUAUAAUGGUUUACAAUUAUAUUUCUAAUAAAAUGCAAGUGACCAAAUCAUCUUUCCAAGGAUUCAUAGCAUUUAACAGUUGCUGUUUUCAACAGUAAAAUAUAGCUUUCUGGGUCAUAUAACUUUUCUCCUUGUUAUAAUGAGCGCUUUAUCGUCACACAAAGUACAUGAAAGUGAUACUUCCUGAGAGCAGAGAGACUGGUGCUGGGUGCUGAUCUUACUUUAAUGAAGUCUUUCUGAGAAUCCAGACUACUUAUCUAUCUUUACACAGUUAUCUCCGAUUGCUUACGAAGUACAAUGUGCUGGGCCUUAGUCCCUAGAGGCUACCAAUAGGUGUGUUGAGUUUCAUUUUUAGACAUUUAGCAAAAUUUUAUGGAAAGGAUUUUCUAAAGGAAACAGUGGAUUCAUGUGGAAUUUCUUGUUCUCUGUGCCAUUUUACACAUGAAACAUCCUUCCUGCUGCCCAAGUAUAGAAGCUGUGGUUUGGAUCUUAAAUGUCCCUGAAGGCUUCCUGUCCCCCAGCUCACGCACCAUCAGCAGGUGCUGGGGUCUUUAGAGGGUGGGGCCCAAGGAGGAAGUGAGGUCACUGGGGUGUGGCCUUGGAGGGGUAUUGGGAAACCAGCUGUCCUCUCUCCAUAUUUCCUUGAUGUUGUGAAGUGAGAAUCUUGCUCUACCACACAUUCUUUGCCAUGAUCUUUGUCUUAACACAGCCCAAAUGCAGUGGAGUCAGCCAACCAAGGACUGAGUCUUUUCAAUCCAUGAGCUAAAAUUAAUCGUUCCUCAUUUAAAUUGAUUUUUGGAGGUAUUUUGUCACAGUAAAGGAAAGCUGACAUAACUACCAUUUUACUGUUGAGGUUAGCUAUCAAGAUACAAUGAACUUAAACAUCAGAAAGGCAAACAUUUGAAUGUAUGAAAAAGGAAAACCUUUAUCUCCCACUUUUUUCUC